UGCAAUAAUUACCAUUAAAAACACAGUGGUUGUUUAGAAAUAGAUGUGGCUACAUUGAUACAGGUUAAGCUUCCACCACAGCAUCUAUUGCAUUGGUAACAAUGAGGCCUGCAACAUGU
rnacentral:snoRNA from 1 species